rnacentral:rRNA from 1 species
AUUGAACGCUGGCGGCAGGCUUAACACAUGCAAGUCGAGCGGGGUGAUGGUGCUUGCACUAUCACUUAGCGGCGGACGGGUGAGUAAUACUUAGGAAUCUGCCUAUUAAUGGGGGACAACAUCUCGAAAGGGAUGCUAAUACCGCAUACGCCCUACGGGGGAAAGCAGGGGAUCACUUGUGACCUUGCGUUAAUAGAUGAGCCUAAGUCGGAUUAGCUAGUUGGUGGGGUAAAGGCCUACCAAGGCGACGAUCUGUAGCGGGUCUGAGAGGAUGAUCCGCCACACUGGGACUGAGACACGGCCCAGACUCCUACGGGAGGCAGCAGUGGGGAAUAUUGGACAAUGGGGGGAACCCUGAUCCAGCCAUGCCGCGUGUGUGAAGAAGGCCUUAUGGUUGUAAAGCACUUUAAGCGAGGAGGAGGCUCUUUUGGUUAAUACCCAAGAUGAGUGGACGUUACUCGCAGAAUAAGCACCGGCUAACUCUGUGCCAGCCGCCGCCGUAAUAC